UUGUUCAAUGGUAAUAAAAUGUAAGAAAUGCUUAGAAAAUGGUCCGAUAUUUAUUUACCUUUAUACCCUACACGUGAUCUCACUCUCUCACAAAUCUUAAUAAGAAUAGGUAAGAGGCUAACUAGCAAGCUGUCGGACACUUACAUUUCUUUCUUUUGUCCUCAUCUAACUAUUCAUUAACCACUUUUAUUUCUGAAUAUUUGACUGUUAUACACUGAACCACUCAAUCAAAUGGACUAUAAGGUUAUAGAACCGUCACAGCUUCACGGAAUUUAGGAGACUAAUGAAUUUUCUCUCGGAAGGAUGGGAAAGUUUAUUAACAUCUGUUUUGAUUGUCGACUGAAGUUUCUUGUAGGUUGUCAAUGUUUAUUUUAUACUCUCGACAAUGUCUUUUUUCCAUGUCUUUUUAUCGCUCCUAUUUAUAAUUUGUAUUUUAACCCACAA